GGGACACCAUAGUCACCAGAACAACUACAGCUUCUUGGAUUUGUUCUGGUGAGUAGAAUCAUUACCUUCAGGCUUUUUGCUGUAAACACUGUCUUUUCAAAGAAAAUGCAGUGUUUACAUUACAGCCUAGUGAUAACUUCACUGGCCACUCCUCAGAUAGCUGUUAGAGAUCCUUCCUGGGUCGUGGCUGCCUAAAAUGCAUCCAAACAUUCAGUGUCUCCUCCCUCUGCGUGCAGACACUGAACUUUCCUCAUAGAGAUGCAUUGAUUCAAUUCAUCACUAUGAGGAGAUGCUGAGUGGCCAG
rnacentral:lncRNA from 1 species